rnacentral:rRNA from 1 species
UGGGGGAUAUUGGACACUGGGCGCAAGCCUGAUCCAGCAAUGCCACCUGGGUGAUGAAGGCGAUAGGCUGUAAAACCCUUUCGGUCGGGACCAUUAUGAGGCUACCGACAGCAAGAAGCCCCGGCUAACUUCGUGCCAGCAGCCGCGGUAAAACGGGGGGGGCAGGUGUUACUCGACAUGACUGGGCGUAAAGGGCAACUAGGCGGCUCCGCUGGUGGGGGGUUAAAAACCGAUUGAUCGGCAGAGCCCCUCCGACGGCUGAGCUUGGAGUUCGGUAGGGGGUGGCGGUACCUCCGGUGUAGAGGUAAAAUUCGGUGAUACCGGAGGGACCAACGGCCGGCGAAGGCAGCCACCUGGUCCGUAACUGACGCUGAAAGGCGAAAGCGUGGGGAGCAAACAG